rnacentral:rRNA from 1 species
AGUGAACGCUGGCGGUAGGCCUAACACAUGCAAGUCGAACGGCAGCACAGUAAGAGCUUGCUCUUACGGGUGGCGAGUGGCGGACGGGUGAGGAAUACAUCGGAAUCUACUUUUUCGUGGGGGAUAACGUAGGGAAACUUACGCUAAUACCGCAUACGACCUACGGGUGAAAGCAGGGGAUCUUCGGACCUUGCGCGAUUGAAUGAGCCGAUGUCGGAUUAGCUAGUUGGCGGGGUAAAGGCCCACCAAGGCGACGAUCCGUGGCUGGUCUGAGAGGAUGAUCAGCCACACUGGAACUGAGACACGGUCCAGACUCCUACGGGAGGCAGCAGUGGGGAAUAUUGGACAAUGGGCGCAAGCCUGAUCCAGCCAUACCGCGUGGGUGAAGAAGGCCUUCGGGUUGUAAAGCCCUUUUGUUGGGAAAGAAAAGCAGCAGGUUAAUACCCCGCUGUUCUGACGGUACCCAAAGAAUAAGCACCGGCUAACUUCGU